GACGAACGCUGGCGGCGUGCUUAACACAUGCACGUCGAACGAAGUGGCGAACGGGUGAGUAACGCGUAAUCAGCCUGCCCUUCAGAGGGGGACAACAGUUGGAAACGACUGCUAAUACCGCAUACUGAAGGAGGGGAUUGCGUCUGCUUAGCUAGUUGGUGGGGUAACGGCCCACCAAGGCGAUGAUCCGUAGCCGGGCUGAGAGGAUGAACGGCCACAUUGGGACUGAGACACGGCCCAGACUCUUACGGGAGGAAGCAGUGUGGAAUCGUCCGCAAUGGACGAAAGUCUGACGGAGCAACGCGGCUGGAGUGAUGACGGCCUUCGGGUUGUAAAGCUCUGUUAAUCGGGACGCGGUACCGGAAUAGAAAGCCACGGCUAACUACGUGCCAGCAGCCGCGGUAAUUC
rnacentral:rRNA from 1 species